UACGAAGGGGGCUAGCGUUGUUCGGAAUUACUGGGCGUAAAGCGUGCGCAGGCGGCUUCUCAAGUCAGGGGUGAAAGCCCAGAGCUCAACUCUGGAAUUGCCUUUGAGACUGAGUGGCUUGAGUACGAGAGAGGUGAGUGGAAUUCCCAGUGUAGAGGUGAAAUUCGUAGAUAUUGGGAAGAACACCGGUGGCGAAGGCGGCUACACUGGCUCGUAACUGACGCUCAUGCACGACAGCGUGGGGAUCAAACAG
rnacentral:rRNA from 1 species